UACUCUGUUCUAUAUUUAAAUGCUUCCAGAUUUAAGUUUUUCAGAAUGUUAAAUGUCUUGCCAAACUUAAAGUUUAUUUCACAGAAUCUAAAAUCACUGUAUUUUGUUUCAUUUCAGGGUGGUAUCUACAUGCCAUUCUUUGAUUGUUGGGAUUCUGGGCCUGUACAUUUUCUUUUUUGAUGAGGCUGGCCGAGCUGAUCCAAUUUGGGGUGAUUCAACGCUUGGGAAAGUGAAUAUUUCUAUUGUUACCGGCUACCUCUUUUCUGAUUUGUUGAUUAUCAUUUCGUAUUGGAAAGUGAUUGGUGACAAAUAUUUCGUAGUUCACCACUGUACAGCUCUAUAUGCCUACUACUUUGUUCUGAGUCAUGGAGCACUGGCCUAUGUUGGGAAUUUUCGCCUGCUCGCAGAGCUGUCCAGCCUUUUGUGAAU